CCUUCUGGUUGAGUGACAUAUAUUUCUUCUUCCAGCUCUCCGUUCAGAAAUGCCGACUUCACGUCUAGAUGGUGUACCUCCCAGCCUUGAUUUGCUGCAAGUGCAAGAAUGACUCGAAUAGUAUCAAGUCUAGCGACAGCUGAAUCUUUCUUCAGUUUGAACACCCAUUUUAGGCCGAUAGGUUUGUGGCCUAAUGGGAGCUCAGUUAGGGUCCAGGUCUUGUUCAUCUCAAUAGUCUUCAGUUCUUCCUCCAUUGCUUCGUACCAGCAAGCCUCGGUUGCAGCUUCUUGGUAACAGUGUUGGCAUAGAUAUCGGCAAUGGACCUAUAACGGACUGGCCCUUCAUGAGACUCGGGUGAGGUAGUUGCUUGGGUGCUCGAUGAUGGUGUAGACGGAC